rnacentral:rRNA from 1 species
GACGUAGGGCGCGAGCGUUGUCCGGAUUUAUUGGGCGUAAAGGGCGCGUAGGCGGCGCGGGAAGUCAUCGGUGAAAGCUCAGGGCUCAACUCUGAGUCGGCCGGUGAUACUCUCGUGCUUGAGCACUGUAGAGGCAGGUGGAAUUCCGGGUGUAGCGGUGGAAUGCGUAGAGAUCCGGAAGAACACCGGUGGCGAAGGCGGUCUGCUGGGGUGAGGCUGACGCUGAGGCGCGACAGCGUGGGGAGCAAACAGG